rnacentral:rRNA from 1 species
CACGUAGGGGGCGAGCGUUGUCCGGAUUUAUUGGGCGUAAAGAGCUCGUAGGCGGUUUCGUAAGUCGGGUGUGAAAACUUCAGGCUCAACCUGGAGACGCCACCCGAAACUGCGAUGACUAGAGUCUGGAAGAGGAGAGUGGAAUUCCUGGUGUAGCGGUGAAAUGCGCAGAUAUCAGGAAGAACACCCGUGGCGAAGGCGGCUCUCUGGGACGGUACUGACGCUGAGACGCGAAAGCGUGGGGAGCGAACAGG